GAGACAGAGCCGCCGCGGUAAUACAGAGGGUGCGAGCGUUAAUCGGAUUUACUGGGCGUAAAGCGUGCGUAGGCGGCUUCUUAAGUCGGAUGUGAAAUCCCUGAGCUUAACUUAGGAAUUGCAUUCGAUACUGGGAAGCUAGAGUAUGGGAGAGGAUGGUAGAAUUCCAGGUGUAGCGGUGAAAUGCGUAGAGAUCUGGAGGAAUACCGAUGGCGAAGGCAGCCAUCUGGCCUAAUACUGACGCUGAGGUACGAAAGCAUGGGGAGCAAACAGGAUUAGAUACCCCGGUAGUCCCUGUCUCUUAUACC
rnacentral:rRNA from 1 species